rnacentral:rRNA from 1 species
GUAGGUGGCAAGCGUUGUCCGGAAUUAUUGGGCGUAAAGCGCGCGCAGGCGGUUCUUUAAGUCUGAUGUGAAAGCCCACGGCUCAACCGUGGAAGGUCAUUGGAAACUGGAGAACUUGAGUACAGAAGAGGAAAGCGGAAUUCCACGUGUAGCGGUGAAAUGCGUAGAGAUGUGGAGGAACACCAGUGGCGAAGGCGGCUUUCUGGUCUGUAACUGACGGUGAGGCGCGAAAGCGUGGGGGCAAACAGGGAUUAGAUACCCUGGUAGUCCACGCCGUAAACGAUGAGUGCUAAGUGUUAGGGGGUUUCCCGCCCCCUUAGUGCUGCAGCUAACGCAUUAAGCACUCCGCCUGGGGAGUACGGCCGCAAGGCUG